GCUUCUCAGCUCCUUCAUGGAGGUUGGACACCAAGGGCCCUUCAAAACACAGAAGCUUCUUGCUCACGGCAGAAAGCCCAAUUCCAUCUGGCCCCUGCAGGUUGGCUCAGCACUGGGGAAUCAGAGUCCCCUCCAUGACCAAGGCACCACUCCACUGACAGACUCUGUUAAUCAGCUUGCUUGGCUGGCCUCCAACCAUAGGUCCAGGGGCUGAGACAAGGUCCUUUUGAGCUCCUAUGUGGGAGGCUCUGGAAAGCUUAGCAACACUUUCCAACAACUUUGCCAGGGUCACAUCUCCCAGGAAGAUCUCACUUCCCCACAGAAGCUCUUGGCCUGGCCUCCUGCAGUGCCACGCUCCGUGUAUUUGACAAGCUGAGUUGGACACUCCAUGUGGUAGAGUGUCAGUUUGUCAAAUACCCCAAGUGCGGCACAUGCUUACCAGCUCUAGGCCAGGGCAGAUGGGAUAUGACGAAUGGACUGCCAGCUGGAUACAAGGAUGCUCACCAAGCACCAAGUUCUCACAAGUUAUUUUAUGUGACUUUGCAGGAACUGAGGCAUUAUAUCUGAGGACACCAGGGGAAAAGUGUGGCAUCUCAGGGAAAUACAGCCCUGGGCUGUGUCUACACACACCAUGAGAGUGCUGAUGGGGGCGCAAUAGUCUUGAAAAUGUAUAAAGUGUCCAGGAAUGGAAGUGCUCUUUGAUUCAUUAUUAUUUUCUUCCUUCAUAUUCCCCUCCCAGAGUCUCCUAUCUAGGACAUCAGCAUUCUCACACAAGCCUAAUGGCUUAUCUGAGUAAGCAGGGCUUAGAAAUUCACUUUCUUGAUACUCAGUCUUGCCUUCUAAACACUCCUUGAUCUUGCCUACCUCUCCCCUUUUCCACAUGUCUUUUCCUGUAGGAACACUUUCUCCAUUUAUUCCUGCCUAUCCAAUUCUUCCCUAUAUUUCCUGGACCAGCUAAAGUCCAGUGUUUCCAGAGACUUUUGAAAGUCAACUUACACUUUUUCCUUCUUCAUUCACAAAGCUCUUCUUCCCUGGGCCCUGGUAUGUAUGCCUUUCUCUCCUACUGUCUAAUAGCACCUCGUAAAUUGUCAAUGAACUUUUCUAAGGGGUAUUCUUGAAUUCCCAACUAGAUUGUGAGCUUCUGGAAGACAAGGCUAUGUCUUUGAUUGUUGUCUCCCCUACCACAGCCCAGUACUUUAGUUACAGAAAAUAAUAAAUAUUUACUGAUUGAUUGACUUUCCUCUUGUCCACUAGCUUUAGGUUUGGGGGCCAAAUUCUACCCUGGAUUUUGAAAAAUUCAAACUGUGAACACCACAAUGUUAUAGAGCAUAUGAGGUAGUAGCCAGCAUGAAGGAUGUUUUCUUCCUGAGAAACAGUGUCAAGGGCUGGAGGAAGAGGGCAAAAUAGCAGACUCAGAGGGCAAAUAAAUUUUGGUAUUACUUGGUCACACAAGGUUAUACAGGUGUUUUCUUGUAGGAUUUUUCAGAGCCUUUAAUAGUCUAAUGUUGCAUUGAGAAUCUCAAAGAGGAAACCAUAGAAUGAGGCAUUUGCCAUACCUAUCUGAUCAUGAAUUUUCUUUUCCCCCACAGCCUUCUCCUGUGUCAAUGUCCAAUGAAGCACGAUUUGGGAAACUGUCCUAGAGAAACUUUAUACCUUCCCGCUCUUCUGGAGAUCUUUUCCUCUUUUCAUUCAUCUACUUUCCCCAACCAGCCAUCUGCCUAAGAAAGGUCACAUGUUAUCAUCUCAUUUUUGUUUAGCCUCUGCAGCUGUGGACUAUCUUUAUUACAUAGGAAUUCUUUACUAGCUUGUCCUGUAUUUAAAAAUAUUCUAAGUUUUGAGGCAAAGAAGAUCCAGAUGCUGCAAUAAAUAUAUGCACUGAGGAGUUCACAGGCCUGACUUUUGGUCUCCUUUCUACCACUAACUGUGUUUUUGUUCCUCUCUGAGCUUCAUUUUCUC
rnacentral:lncRNA from 1 species